CUCAUUUUCUCCUAUCAAUGUCUUAGGCUUAUCACUAACAAUGUCUUCACCUCCGACAGAAUGAGAACCUUACUGAACUUUUGGCUCUUUUGGUCCCUUCUCCUGCUCCAGAUCUCUUCAGGAACCAUGGUGUCAGAUGACCCAGUCUAGAAGUGCUUCUACUCCAGCCUGGACCAGAACCCUCAGAUUCUUCUGUUGGAACUGGGACACCAGCACAGUCUCAUUGAAGCUCCUUACAGGAACGGUUUGCCAGGCGGCUCGGGGCCCUGCUGUGAUGGCGAGUCUAACAAGCUUGUCGCGCUGAUUGAUUAAACACGACAGGCGCCCGGCGACAAGAGUGUGAAAAUUCCUUGCUCUGAUUGUCCUAAGGGUCUGGCACACUAAUGAAUGGGGUCUGAUGACAGCCCAGCUUCUCGAGUGCCUCCUCUUUCCCCAAUCUGGGUGACUCUUCUGUUUUGAAUACAUCUCAGAGAGCAGUACAGAGUUCUCAGCAGGAUCUGGUGCAAUGGGGCCAGAAAGAUUUUUUUAGCCCAGUUUUGCUCUCAAACAUUCUCUGUACAGUUUAUGGGCAGAAGGUGAUUCCACCUCAAUCAGGUACUGCCACCAAAGUCACCUGCUGGUAAGAAAUGGGGAAGAGUAAGCUUCUUAAGUCCCAGAUAUUUAGGCCUGGUGUUCCAAACUGGGACCAAACUGGGAACCUCUGAGAGUCCUCUGGGAAGACCUGGGGGUGUAACUUCUUCCAGCAAGAUCAUCUGUUCAUGGCUUAGUUUAGGAGAUUGGGUUACAGUAGGCCAGUUAUAAGGACCUGGCUAUACGAUGAGAACUGUCUUAGUAGCUGCUGUGGAUUGAAUUGUGUCCCCCAAAAAUAUAUGUUGAAGAUUAAUCCCGGGUAUCUGUGAAUGUGACCUUAUUUGGAAAUAGAGUCUUUAUAGAUGUAAUCAAGUUAAGAUAAGGUCCCCAUUGAUUAAGGUGAACCUUAAAUCCAAUAUGACUGAUGUCCUUAUAAGAAAGGGAAAUUUGGACACAGAUACUCAGGGAAGAAGGCCAUGUGAAGAUGGAGGCAGAGAUUGGAGUCAUGUGCCUACCAGCUAAGGAAUGCCAAGGAUCACCAGCAACCACCAGAAGCUCGGAAAGAGGCAUGGAACAAUUCUCCCUUAUCGUCCUCAGAGGGAACCAACUCACUUUGAUUUCAGGCUUCUAGCCUCCAGAACUGUAAGAGAAUAAAUUUAUUUUGUUUUAA